ensembl:lncRNA
AGAGAUGGGUCUGGGGUAGUAGAGAGGUAUAAGAGAUGGGUCUGGGGUAGUAGAGAGGUGUAAGUGAUGGGUCUGGGGUAGUAGAGAGGUGUAAGAGAUAGGUCUGGGGUAGUAGAGAGGUGUAAGAGAUGGGUCUGGGGUAUCAGAGAGGUGUAAGAGAUGGUCUGGGGUAGUAGAGAGGUGUAAGAGAUGGGUCUGGGGUCAUAGAGAGGUAAAAUAGAUGGGUCUGGGGUAGUAGAGAGGUGUACGUGAUGGGUCUGGGGUAUCAGAGAGGUGUAAGAGAUGGUCUGGGGUAGUAGAGAGGUGUAAGAGAUGGGUCUGGGUAGUAGAGAGGUGUAAGAUAUGGGUCUGGGGUAGUAGAGAGGUAUAAGAGAUGGGUCUGGGGUAGUAGAGAGGUGUAAGUGAUGGGUCUGGGGUAGUAGAGAGGUGUAAGAGAUAGGUCUGGGGUAGUAGAGAGGUGUAAGAGAUGGGCCUGGGGUAUCAGAGAGGUGUAAGAGAUGGUCUGGGGUAGUAGAGAGGUGUAAGAGAUGGGUCUGGGGUCAUAGAGAGGUAAAAUAGAUGGGUCUGGGGUAGUAGAGAGGUGUAAGAGAUGGGUCUGGGGUAGUAGAGAGGUGUAAGAGAUGGGUCUGGGUAGUAAAGAGGUGUAAGAGAUGGGUCUGGGGUAGUAGAGAGGGGUAAGAUAUGGGUCUGGGGUAGUAGAGAGGUGUACGUGAUGGGUCUGGGGUAUCAGAGAGGUGUAAGAGAUGGUCUGGGGUAGUAGAGAGGUGUAAGAGAUGGGUCUGGGUAGU